GUGUAAUGGUUAGCACUCUGGACUCU
rnacentral:piRNA from 7 species